rnacentral:sRNA from 1 species
UAAAGAGACAUGCACACAUAUGUUUAUUGCAGCACUAUUCACAACAGCAAAGACUUGGAACCAACCCAAAUGCUCAUCAAUGAUAGACUGGAUAAAGAAAAUGUGGCACAUACACACCAUGGAAUACUAUAUAGCCAUAAAAAAGGAUGAGUUCAUGUUCUUUGCAGGGACAUGGAUGAAGCUGGAAACCAUGAUUCUCAGCAAACUAACACAGGAACAGAAAACCAAACACUGCAUGUUUUCACGCAUAAGUAUUGUAAUCAGGUUCUUUGUAAAGAGAUUGAUGAAUGUGUGACUCUUCUUCUCCAAGAGCUUGUCAGUUUCCAGGAACGCAUCUACCAAAAAGAUCCUGUAAGAGCAAAAGCAAGGAGACGACUCGUUAUGGGUCUAAGAGAAGUUACCAAACAUAUGAAGUUAAACAAGAUCAAGUGUGUUAUAAUUUCUCCAAACUGUGAAAAAAUCCAGUCAAAAGGUGGUCUGGAUGAGGCUCUCUAUAAUGUUAUAGCCAUGGCACGGGAACAAGAAAUUCCUUUUGUGUUU